rnacentral:rRNA from 1 species
AGCAGCCGCGGUAAUUCCAGCUCCAAUAGCGUAUAUUAAAGUUGUUGCAGUUAAAAAGCUCGUAGUUGAAUUUCGGGACCAAUAUGUCGGUCGUGCUUCGGUACGUACUUGCAUUAUUGGUUCCUCCCUUCUGAGGAACCAUGAUGUCAUUAAUUUGGUGUCGUGGGAAAUCAGGACUGUUACUUUGAAAAAAUUAGAGUGUUUAAAGCAGGCUCGCGCUUGAAUACAUUAGCAUGGAAUAAUGAAAUAGGACGUUUGAUUCUAUUUUGUUGGUUUCUAGGAUCGACGUAAUGAUUAAUAGGGAUAGUUGGGGGCAUUAGUAUUCAAUUGUCAGAGGUGAAAUUCUUGGAUUUAUUGAAGACUAACUACUGCGAAAGCAUUUGCCAAGGAUGUUUUCAUUAAUCAAGAACGAAAGUUAGGGGAUCGAAGACGAUCAGAUACCGUCGUAGU